rnacentral:lncRNA from 13 species
GGGGCCCAGAGCAGCAUCAGGGCAGUGAGAAGAGGGGCAACCACCCUGCCAGCAUGAGGCAGCCACUGGGACCAGACAGGGAAAAGGGGAAGAAAGCAUACUUGGCGGCAAAUGGGAGCAUGGUGCCACCAGCUUCUCAGCGAGCGCGACAGUCGACAGGGAAAGACGGAGACUCCAGUCAGGAGGUAUACGGCGAAACCUCGUCUGAGAGCUACAGCUCGGCCUCCAGCCCCCAGCACCACGAACCAGAGAGCCUGGACAGCGAGGACGAAAAGGAUAAAGGUGAGACAGACACAUAUACCAUGAUUAGAUUUUGGGCUUGUCUUAUUUUUGGGACAUCACU